rnacentral:rRNA from 1 species
UAUACGACCGUACCGCAAACCGACACUGGUGCGCGAGAUGAGUAUUCUAAGGCGCUUGAGAGAACUCAGGAGAAGGAACUCGGCAAAUUGACACCGUAACUUCGGAAGAAGGUGUGCCCUAUUAGUGUGUAGUGAACAACGAAGCAUGAAUGGGUUGCAAAAAAUCGGUGGCUGCGACUGUUUAUUAAAAACACAGCACUCUGCAAACACGAAAGUGGACGUAUAGGGUGUGACGCCUGCCCGGUGCUGGAAGAUUAAAUGAUGGGGUGCAAGCUCUUGAUUGAAGUCCCAGUAAACGGCGGCCGUAACGAUAACGGUCCUAAGGUAGCGAAAUUCCUUGUCGGGUAAGUUCCGACCUGCACGAAUGGCGUAACGAUGGCCACACUGUCUCCUCCUGAGACUCAGCGAAGUUGAAAUGUUUGUGAUGAUGCAAUCUCCCCGCGGAAAGACGGAAAGACCCCAUGAACCUUUACUGUAGCUUUGUAUUGGACUUUGAACAGAUCUGUGUAGGAUAGGUGGGAGGCUUUGAAGCAGGGUCGCUAGAUCUUGUGGAGCCAACGUUGAAAUACCACCCUGGUGUGUUUGAGGUUCUAACCUAGGUCCAUUAUCUGGAUCGGGGACAGUGCAUGGUAGGCAGUUUGACUGGGGCGGUCUCCUCCCAAAGCGUAACGGAGGAGUUCGAAGGUACGCUAGUUACGGUCGGACAUCGUGACGAUAGUGCAAUGGCAUAAGCGUGCUUAACUGCGAGACUGACAAGUCGAGCAGAUGCGAAAGCAGGACAUAGUGAUCCGGUGGUUCUGUAUGGAAGGGCCAUCGCUCAACGGAUAAAAGGUACUCUGGGGAUAACAGGCUGAUACCGCCCAAGAGUUCAUAUCGACGGCGGUGUUUGGCACCUCGAUGUCGGCUCAUCUCAUCCUGGGGCUGUAGCCGGUCCCAAGGGUAUGGCUGUUCGCCAUUUAAAGAGGUACGUGAGCUGGGUUUAAAACGUCGUGAGACAGUUUGGUCCCUAUCUUCCGUGGGCGCUGCAGAUUUGAGGAAGCCUGCUCCUAGUACGAGAGGACCGGAGUGGACACACCUCUGGUGUAUCGGUUGUCACGCCAGUGGCAUUGCCGAGUAGCUAAGUGUGGAAGAGAUAACCGCUGAAAGCAUCUAAGCGGGAAACUCGUUUCAAGAUGAGAUCUGCCGGGGCCUUGAGCCCCCUAAAGAGUCGUUCAAGACCAGGACGUUGAUAGGUCAGGUGUGGAAGCCA